CUCCCAGGUUCUAUCUCUAGCCAAGACAAACAGGGUUGAAGCUCUUUUCCAUGGGGAUCCUAGGCCCCAAACAAAUCAAGGAAUCAAAGGGAAAAAGGAUGUUGCAACUCCAAAAGGACUAGAAAUGAUAGCUCUUUCUGAUAAUAGCCUGAAGCUUCUGAAACCCCCU